rnacentral:rRNA from 1 species
UACAUUCAAUAAGCGGAGGAAAAGAAACCAACAGGGAUUGCCCCAGUAACGGCGAGUGAAGCGGCAACAGCUCAAAUUUGAAAUCUGGCCCUCGGGUCCGAGUUGUAAUUUGUAGAGGAUGCUUUUGGCGAGGUGCCUUCCGAGUUCCCUGGAACGGGACGCCAUAGAGGGUGAGAGCCCCGUCUGGUCGGACACCGAGCCUCUGUAAAGCUCCUUCGACGAGUCGAGUAGUUUGGGAAUGCUGCUCAAAAUGGGAGGUAUAUGUCUUCUAAAGCUAAAUAUUGGCCAGAGACCGAUAGCGCACAAGUAGAGUGAUCGAAAGAUGAAAAGCACUUUGAAAAGAGGGUUAAAAAGUACGUGAAAUUGUUGAAAGGGAAGCGCCUAUGACCAGACUUGAGCCCGGUGAAUCAUCCAGCGUUCUCGCUGGUGCACUUUGCCGGGCCCAGGCCAGCAUCAGUUUGGCGCGGGGGAUAAAGGUGACGGGAAUGUGGCUCCCUCGGGAGUGUUAUAGCCCGCUACGUAAUACCCUGCGCCGGACUGAGGUACGCGCAUUGCAAGGAUGCUGGCGUAAUGGUCAUCAGCGACCCGUCUUGAAACACGGACCAAGGAGUCGUCUUCGUAUGCGAGUGUUCGGGUGUCAAACCCCUACGCGUAAUGAAAGUGAACGCAGGUGAGAGCUUCGGCGCAUCAUCGACCGAUCCUGAUGUUCUCGGAUGGAUUUGAGUAAGAGCAUACGGGGCCGGACCCGAAAGAAGGUGAACUAUGCCUGUAUAGGGUGAAGCCAGAGGAAACUCUGGUGGAGGCUCGCAGCGGUUCUGACGUGCGAAUCGAUCGUCAAAUAUGGGCAUGGGGGCGAAAGACUAAUCGAACCUUCUAGUAGCUGGUU